AAAAGUCUCUUUGUGUGUAAUCCCAUAGAUUUUAUUCUGUCUGGUAGUGAGAUAUAUUGUGAUCUCUAUUACAAUAUUAUCAAAACUCCUUUCAAUGGGUUGGAACCAUUCCAACUCUGUCCACCAAAGAUCAUUAAUCAUCGAGAUGAUACUCGUGGGUCUCACAAUCCAUCAGUGACACCUAGCAAUAUGUAGUGGCAACCCA
rnacentral:lncRNA from 1 species